UAUUAGGUUGGUGUAAAAGUAAUUGUGGUUUUUGCCAUUGAAAGUAAUGGCAAAAACACAAUUACUUUUGCACCAACCUGAUA
rfam:Pan troglodytes isolate Yerkes chimp pedigree #C0471 (Clint) chromosome 15, whole genome shotgun sequence.